GAUGAAGAACGCAGCGAAAUGCGAUACUUGGUGUGAAUUGCAGAAUCCCGUGAACCAUCGAGUCUUUGAACGCAAGUUGCGCCCGAAGCCAUUAGGCCGAGGGCACGCCUGCCUGGGCGUCACACGUCGUUGCCCCCCCAUCUACUCCUUCGGGAUUGCGGGGGGCGGAUGAUGGCCUCCCGUGCGCCUCGUCGCGCGGUUGGCAUAAAUGCCAAGUCCUCGGCGACGCACGCCACGACAAUCGGUGGUUGCGAAACCUCGGUUGCCCGUCGAGUGCGGUCGUCGCGCAUCGAGGGCUCGAAAAAAUUGCCGGGCUCCGGCUCGGCUUUCAACGCGACCCCAGGUCAGGCGGGGUUACCCGCUGAAUUUAAGCAUAUCAAUAAGCGGAGGA
rnacentral:misc_RNA from 1 species